GACAUGGAAGUAGCAAAGUUAACUUGAACAAAACAGGAACAUGGGUAUGUGGCAAAUGUGACAUGGAUGAAAGCAGAAGUCAAAUUCAUCCUUAAAAGGGUGUACCUGGAUACUGCAUAUCACUGUGUCAAAUGCUUAGUCUUAUGAAGUCUCACAUACCACUUGAAAAGGUGGCGGGGGUGUUGUUGAAAAUGACAAUAAAUCAUAUAGAAUGCAGGAAUGUUUAAUUUUAUGGGUUUUCUCCUAAGAGGUCAUGGAGGGUAAGAGUGGAAAUAAAUGAGAUUUGAAACAGAAGAGGGGGGAACUUCUGAGGGAUGUUCACUCUUCACAACAGUGGCUGUUAACCACUCUAGGUUGCUGCCUUCAUUGUUGUCUCUGACAGCAGACUAAAUGUCUCCCUCUCCUGAAAGCCCUGCCUACAGCUCUUGUGAGCCCACAUAAACCCAAAGGCCUCCUCCCUUUCUCGCUUUGUGCUUAGAAGCAGCUCUGGGGCCAUCGUGGCUCUCUGAGGAAACAGCCUUCUCUGGCUACAUCCUUAAGGUCCUGGUUAUACUGGAGCAGGGUGGUGACGUUCACAGGUGUCUGCCCAACCCCAAGGAUCACAUUUAUAAAAUGUGUCUUGGUUAAAGUUUUAACAGCGUCUAUAUAAUCGAGGAAAAAAGAAAGACAAAUAUCAAGGACAAAAGACGUUACCAAUCAACGAACAGAAUAGACUGGCUAGUCGGAGGGCUGCGAGCGAGGUUUUGCAGAUGUAUCGACUUCCAUGCAGAAAUGUAAGGAUAAGUAUUGUGGUAAGAAAAACUUACAAUCAUCAUACAAAUCGUCUUUAUAUGUAAAUAUUGUCCAACGUGCAGAUAACUUGGAGCUAGUUAGUUUGACAGACUUUUGCAAAGCGAACAUGCUUAAGUUUUUCGUUCGCUUUUUGCGCUGCCCUUGCGUUAUAUUGUCCUUAACUGUCGAUUGGAACCGUGGAGUUUGUCCCAGCAGAUGGCACUAAAGUACUAAUUCAGUUCGUUCUUAAACGCGUGGCUGCCAUGUUCAUCUUGCAUGCGUGAGGAGACAAGACUGGCCCAUUGGGACGUGGACUUUCAGACCAAGCUUGCCUGUCUAGGAGAUGUCGGCGACCCCUGUCUCCUAUGUAGAGCUAACUAAUUGAACAACAUGGGUAAUGAGAUGAACCUUCUCCAUGCACACGGCUGGCUGUAGGAUGCAAAAACGUUUAAAGGUACAAUAGGUAAGAGUUUGAACCUGUCAAACUCGAGCAGGAGGAUGGAACGGAAUGCAUGUCUGAAUUCUGAUGUCCAUAUGUUCCAGAACCAUAUACCAAACUUUUUUUAUUGACUGCAAAUGUAAAAGACAAGUGUCUGAAAGUUACUGGCACAGUGUUUUAAUUAAGUGUUUCCUGUAAUGGGCAUUCGUUCAUGCUUAACCAGGAAGUACCAUGAUGACCUUGCAAAAUUAUGCAACUACUUGAAUCCUAGCCAAGUCAUUAUCAUAUCAUAUUUGCAGCACGCACGUUUUGGAACAUGCUGUUCUUAAGUUAAAUAAAUAAAUAAAAUCCACCAGGCAGACAUGGCAGUUUAAAUUUGAAUGGUUUGUUCACAAAUGUAAGCUAUUAACAAAUUAUACAUUGAUUUUAUAAGUAACAUGUAUGAAAAUGGAUAGCCGUUUGAAAUAUCCAAAUUCUUAAACCUUGGUAGGUUAUCAUGGUAGAUGGGUUUUUGUUAGCCUUUGAAACAUGAUUUUAAACAUGUAAGUCAUCUUCCCUGGUUGUUGGCUCUUAACCUGUUUAUAUAAGUGUGUGUACACAACUGACCAAAAGCAUAUGAGAUUAGUCUCAAGAUCCAGCUGCUAUGUCAUGGAGAUAAUCUUUACGACAUGCUUACAAACAUUAGUCCUGGAAAAUGACAUUUCUUGUUUGAUCUUCCAUAAAAUAUUUGUUUAAUCCAAUUUUGUGGUGAUGUAAAAAAUUAUACUGAUUAUAGCACUUGUGCAUUUAAAAGAACUGGACUCAAA